CCUAAAAUAAGUGCAGUUUUAGCAUUAUUCAUGUUCAACGUUUGAUCGUUCGUUUUAUUUGAAAAAAGAUUAUGGUUAGUAUUUUUAUUGUUAUUAGAUAAUAGAACAUGAAUAAUACUUUAUGUGUGACUAAUUUUUUUAAUAUUUUUCAUAAAUUUUUCAAAUAAGACGGAUGGUCAAAGCGUUAAACAUGGAUAUUUAUGGCUGCACUUAUUUUGGGACGGAGAUAG
rnacentral:pre_miRNA from 1 species